AUUGAACGCUGGCGGCAUGCCUUACACAUGCAAGUCGAACGGUAACGCGGGGCAACCUGGCGACGAGUGGCGAACGGGUGAGUAAUGUAUCGGAACGUGCCCAGUUGUGGGGGAUAACUGCUCGAAAGAGCAGCUAAUACCGCAUACGACCUGAGGGUGAAAGCGGGGGAUCGCAAGACCUCGCGCAAUUGGAGCGGCCGAUAUCAGAUUAGGUAGUUGGUGAGGUAAAGGCUCACCAAGCCGACGAUCUGUAGCUGGUCUGAGAGGACGACCAGCCACACUGGGACUGAGACACGGCCCAGGCUCCUACGGGAGGCAGGAGUGGGGAAGUUUGGACAAUGGACGAAAGUCUGAUCCAGCCAGGCCGCGUGCGGGAAGAAGGCCUUCGGGUUGUAAACCGCUUUUGUCAGGGAAGAAACGCUCUGGGUUAAUACCCUGGGGUCAUGACGGUACCGUAAGAAUAAGCACCGGCUAACUACGUGCCAGCCGCCGCCGUAA
rnacentral:rRNA from 1 species